rnacentral:sRNA from 1 species
GGCGGGAUAGCUGUCCGAGGGCUCCCCCAGCACUGAGGAGCUCGCCUGCUGCCCUCUUGCGCGUGGGAAGCAGCACCAAGUUCACUGCCAACGCCUAGGCACUAGGGUACAGAAUGGCUACAACAGUCCCUGAUGGUUGCCACAGUGGCCUGAAAUCCAAGUACUACAGACUUUGUGAUAAGGCUGAAGCUUGGGGCAUCGUCCUAGAAACAGUGGCCACAGCCGGGGUUGUGACCUCGGUGGCCUUCAUGCUCGCUCUCCCGAUCCUCAUCUGCAAGGUGCAGGACUCCAACAGGCGAAAAAUGCUGCCUACUCAGUUUCUCUUCCUCCUGGGUGUGUUGGGCAUCUUUGGCCUCACCUUUGCCUUCAUCAUCAGACUGGAUGGGAGCACAGGGCCCACACGCUUCUUCCUCUUUGGGAUCCUCUUUUCCAUCUGCUUCUCCUGCCUGCUGGCUCAUGCUCUCAAUCUGACCAAGCUCGUCCGAGGGAGGAAGCCCCUUUCCCUGUUGGUGAUUCUAGGUCUGGCCGUGGGCUUCAGCCUAGUCCAGGAUGUCAUUGCUAUUGAAUAUAUUGUCCUGACCAUGAAUAGGACCAACGUCAAUGUCUUUUCUGAGCUUUCUGCUCCUCGUCGCAAUGAAGACUUUGUCCUCCUGCUCAUCUACGUCCUCUUCUUGAUGGCGCUGACCUUCCUCAUGUCCUCCUUUACCUUCUGUGGUUCCUUCACGGGCUGGAAGAGACAUGGGGCCCAUGUCUACCUCACGAUGCUCCUCUCCAUUGCCAUCUGGGUGGCCUGGAUCACCCUGCUCAUGAUUCCUGACUUUGACCGCAGGUGGGAUGACACCAUCCUCAGCUCUGCUUUGGCUGCCAAUGGCUGGGUAUUCCUGUUGGCUUAUGUUAGUCCCGAGUUUUGGCUGCUCACAAAGCAACGAAACCCCAUGGAUUAUCCUGUUGAGGAUGCUUUCUGUAAACCUCAACUCAUGAAGAAGAGCUAUGGUGUGGAGAACAGAGCCUACUCUCAAGAGGAAAUCACUCAAGGUACAGACUCAGCCUGGCUAGGCAGAGAAUCCCUCGUAGAAAGGUGGGGGAGAAUCAUAGGAUAUUAUAGCUGUAAGGAACAUGCAAGAUUUUCCAGGUUAUACCCUUGACAGAAUAGAUAAGUUCCUUAAGGCUCAGAUCUUGCUUAAAAUUGUCCAGCCUGUUAGAGACAAGUAGAACAAGAAGCUGGCCUCUGGAGUCUUUAUUGAGUACUUUAUACAAUUGGUGUAGACUGGGAGAGCCCUCCUCACUUCCCCUUUCUUGUGCCGUAAUUUCCUGUGGGGCAGAACACCUCAGAGGUUUCUGUGCAUCAAAAUAAGAUGCAGCAAAGAAAUGGAAAAAGGAUAACGAGACAAAUUCCCAGCAAUAAGUAGGUGAGGUUGUGUUUUUUAUAAAAGAUAACGAGGCAUUCCUUCCAGAAAUGUGGAGCCUUUGUAGAUUUCAGUGCAUAAAACCAAGCCAUGAUUUCCUGCAGUGAUCACAGAGCAGAGAAGGGAGAAAGCCCUUUUAUCAUAAACCAGCAGGAAGUCUCCGUAAAAUUGGUAGGGAUUCUGGUUUAGUGCGAAGAACCACAUUUUUUGUGUGUGUUUCUGGGCCCAUGGGAAGGAACAGAUCAUAUUUGACAUACAAGAAUCAAAUGAUUCAGGCCAGGCGUGGUGGCUCACUCCUGUAAUCCUAGCGCUCUGGGAGGCUGAGGUGGGAGGA